GAAACGCGGAAAGCGAGGUGGAGUCGCAGCUCGUUUGAGAUCUUCUGCUUGCCUGCUGUCUGUCGGGACUGGGAUGAUCCGCGGGUUACGUCUUCAUUGGCGUUCGCUGGAUGCAUCGUAUCGUUGGCUUCGACCAGUUGUCCCCAGCCUUGUUUCUUUGCGCCGUUUUCCUCCGCGUGUUCGUCGUGGUGGAGUAAAUGAGUCUAAUCUUCGACCGAUUCGUAGUUCCACACAACCCCAGGCUUGGCACCUUGCACUAGUAUGCCGCCUCCCAACCAGGCAUGGCUGACCUUUGUUGCACUCCAUGAGCCAACAUCACUCUGCCUUGGAUAUGUGCACCCCACUCACAACUGCUUCACCAUUUCCCACAACUGAAGCUUGCAUAGCCCCACCUUUUAAGAAAGAAAGAUGCACCGCCGCCAUGAAGCGGUCUGAAUCAGCAUCCACGCACCACUACUUCCGCCCUUCCUCUGUCAGUCCCUGAUGACGUCACCAAUCCCACUAUCCACCUCGGCUUCUACCCAGUAUGCACCUCUACUUCCGGUCCCACCUCAUAAAUGCUCCCACUCCGCCAUCUUU